rnacentral:rRNA from 1 species
UACGGGGGGGGCAAGCGUUGUUCGGAAUUACUGGGCGUAAAGGGCUCGUAGGUGGCCAACUAAGUCAGACGUGAAAUCCCUCAGCUUAACUGGGGAACUGCGUCUGAUACUGGAUGGCUUGAGAUUGGGAGAGGGAUGCGGAAUUCCAGGUGUAGCGGUGAAAUGCGCAGAUAUCAGGAGGAACACCGAUGGCGAAGGCAGAUCUCUGGGCCGUAACUGACGCUGAGGAGCGAAAGCAUGGGGAGCGAACAGG